GUAGUAAUUUAUGUGUGCUUGGGGGAGUCUCCAAGCUUAACCACACAUUUCAGGUGACCCCUCACCUCCACCCUUCAACGGAGCAUUUAGGGAAAGUUUGCAGGUAACUAUGCUGGCACAUUCCGGGGGAGUGGGGAGACAGAGAAAGAAAUCCAAAAUUAACAAAUCCAAUUAUCACUGUAAAGAAACGUUCACAUAUUUUACUUCCUUGGCUUUUAUCUUCCCCGAGGGAAAAAGCAGCCGUGCUUCUUUGUCCUCUUGCCAUUGGUGCAGUCUGGGAUCACGCAGCUUCAGCCUGUUUUCUGCUGCUGUGGGACCUGAUCCUGAAGGAUUCAAGUUACAAGAAAGAAGAUUCCAACUGAAUAGAAAUACUGUUCUGGAAAUAAGAGCUGUUCAGCAGUGGAGCAGACUCCCCAGAAGAUGGUGGAGUCUCCUUCCUUGGAAGUUUUUAAGCAGAGGUUGAAUGGCCAUCAGCCAGGGAUCCUUGAGCUGUGAUUCCUGCAUUGUAGGGGGUUGGAAUGGAUGGCCUUUGGUGGUCCCUUCCAGCUCUAAAAUUCUAUGAUUCUAUAUGCGCUCAGCAACAUCUGUUUCUCUCCACCCCCUUUAAGCUUAUUGCGUAGCCAGAUGGAGAGGUCUCAAAGACUUGCUCACUUCUUCGCAGCCUUUCAGUUGGUCCUAAUAAAUCAAAUUCCCUGCUGUUACAUUUGGAUUUUAUUUCCUCUCUUAGACUGCAGUCCUAACUCUACCUGGAAGUUGGCCCCAUUGAAAUCACCAUGACUCAAACUUCUGAGCAGGUGUGGGACUGUGCUGUAUAAUUAAGCCUUCUAAUCUGGGAAACGAAAGAACAUUUAAAUGCAUUCGGCAGUCCUGAAAAUAAUUCGCCUUUUGGGUAGCUUCGUUUGGCUGCUAGAAUCUCGGGGAAGGAGCGUCCCCCAUCCAUCAUGACACCAACCACUGGAGAAUCCCCUAGUGCAGGGAUUCCCAAAUUUUUUAGGGUCACUGCCCCCUUGGUUCCAUAGACUCCAGUGCCCCCUACCCUCUAGACAGCAUUAUUCAGAAUAGUGCUUUGCACGACCUUCUAAUGAAGAUAAUAAGGCAAUAAAAUUCCAAACAG